GAUGAAGAACGCAGUGAAAUGCGAUAAGUAGUGUGAAUUGCAGAAUUCAGUGAAUCAUCGAAUCUUUGAACGCACAUUGCGCCCCUUGGUAUUCCAUGGGGCAUGCCUGUUCGAGCGUCAUUUGUACCUUCAAGCUCUGCUUGGUGUUGGGUGUUUGUCUCGCCUUUGCGUGUAGACUCGCCUCAAAACAAUUGGCAGCCGGCGUAUUGAUUUCGGAGCGCAGUACAUCUCGCGCUUUGCACUCAUAACGACGACGUCCAAAAAGUACAUUUUUACACUCUUGACCUCGGAUCAGGUAGGGAUACCCGCUGAACUUAAGCAUAUCAAUAAGCGGAGGA
rnacentral:misc_RNA from 1 species